UUAGCUCAGCUGGGAGAGCGCUUCGCUGGCAGCGAAGAGGUCAGCGGUUCGAUCCCGCUA
rnacentral:tRNA from 1 species